UUUUACGUUAGUCCUCAUUAAAGAUUAAACAAAAAAGAGAGAGGACACACUCUACUACUAUUUCCGUCUCUGAAAAACAACGCGUUUUAUUCAAAAUCUGAGCAUAAUACAGUGAGCAUAAUACAGUCACUAGUUCUUUGAAGGAGUGAGACGUCUUACUCGUUUGUCGUGUCUGUUGAAAGUUGGGCAUGCGCAGUACGGAACACAGACGGCUCACUGGAGGGAACGUUACAGGUGCGUAAUUAAGCUGCCUCGUCCGAGACGGUUUGAAUUCGUAUUUCAUUGCAGGUUAAGUUGUAUCGAAUAUCUCAGUUUUUUUAGUCCAAUACAUUUUAAAUAUUAUAUUUAAUAUUAUUUGUUGUGUACACUGUUGCAGCCGAGCACAAGCUAACGUUAGCUAGCUAUCUUGCUAGCUAACGUUAGCUAACGUUAUUUAACUUGCUAGCUAAAACUGCUAACAGCAUGGACGAACUUGAUGACGUCACGGUGUCGACUUUAAGAGGUAACGUAGUCAAAUAUACAUUUUUAACGUGGUUAUUAAUUUUUCGUCAUAUUUAUUUUGCACCAGUAACACCAAGAAAAAUCCCUUUUAAGUAAAAACCUACUUUGCAAUACUUAUGAUUCAUCAGAGAGGUUAAGAUCAGCUAAAUUUAAACAGAUUAAGACUUGCAGUCCUCUCUAUAAAAUCGGUAGUAACUCUUAAUUCUGAACAGAUUUGAAUGGAAUGGUUUUAUUAUAAAUUGGAUAAAUUUAACUUUAUACUGGUUACGUGUUUCAAUUAAAUCCAGUUACUGGGGUGGAUCUACUCUGUUCUAUUAUACUAAAACAUUCGGAAUAACCACAACUUAAAAUAUAAAUUAUUUAGAAUGUAUGCUUUUAUGAGUUUCUAAAAAAUGUAGAUUGCUAUAUACAUUCAGUAAAUUUGAAUUAAAAUUGCUUCAGAAUUAAGAGAGUUACGACUGAUUAAAAUGUUUAAUUUACCACUCUGAUGUGAUGCAUAAUCCACUGAGGUAUGUCAUUUCUUUAUCUAUUGUUAUAUCAUGUGUAUUUACAUUUUUUGAUGAUGAAGUUCAUUCAUUUUCUGCUUGUUUAGUAAGUAUUUAUAUCCAACACCAUAAGGCAAUCACUAAACCUACCUUCAUUAUCACUAAAAGGAGAAUAUUAACACAAACUAUUUAGGAUUAUUGUUAUAACCUUAGUGGAGUUGUCAAUGCUGCAUCACAAUUUGUGUUAAGACAGUAUAAAUUAAAAGUUGCUUUUACAAAUACUUAAUUAUCUUUUAUUUUACAGGAAACUGUAGACUCAAAAUCAACGAGCAGUUCUACUUCUAUGAUUGGGUCACCCCUAUCUCAGACAUCCACUCAAGUAAAAAGAUGUCCCGCAAAGCACACAACACCUGAAAAUGUUGUGAAGUUAUCCUUCCCCGAAUAUGUAUUGCACACUGACACCAAACUAGAGCAAUGCCGAAAACAAUAUUUUGAGUUGGCGAAGGCCGGCGAAGAGAGAAACUGCCAAAUGUCAAAGGACCUCAGAUGUCGGCUCAUCCGAAACACCAUGACCAGUAUGAUCGCAAUCCUGAGGGCAACGGGGGACAGAGACAGAUACCCGUCAAAGCCAGAAAUAACAGCUAUGGCAAAGCGAACAGUGCUGUACUACCCCAUGCUGCAGGGCCGAGACCUGAGCAGCAAGUAUGCAUGGGUAGGUCAAAUGCAUCCAGGUGCAUGUUUGAUGUUUGAAGCAUUUAUUUGAAUUUUUCUUGUCACAGGUUACUGUGUACUCACAGCUAUACAAAAGAUUGAAAAAUUUGAGAUCACCCCAAAAGACCAAUCCAAAGAGGCGCCGACUCGAGGAGCUAAAGUGCCAACCUGACUGACCCAGAUGAAUUUGAUUCAAGUGACUCAACAGUCAUUCUGGAUCUCCCCUCAAAAGGGGGUAGCAUUCAAGCAUUCAAGACUUCCCUUCUGAAGGGAGUAGCACCCCAGACUCGGGCAACAAUGCCAGAUAUGCCCGCAUCUUUGCGUAAGAAGAAAACUCCAAACCGUGAGUCCGUCUCUCAGCUCCUGGGUUUGGAAUUUUCAGCCAGAAGAGCAUUCAUUGAUUCUUUUUGCGAGGAGGACAGACACAAGAAAAUUCCAGAGGACAUUGGACAUGUGAUGGAGGAGCUUCAACGCAUUCUGGACAAAAAUAACAUCCAUUACAUUGAUGAGCUGAAGGGAAGAUGGGACGACUUCUGCCAGAAGGUGCAGUUUUUUGGUGUGUGGAAAAAGCUGCUGAAACCCUCAGUAGGAAUGGACAAAGGCUCUCAGUAUCCUACGUGUGCUGCCUUCAUUGUCCCCCUCUUCAUCUGCUCCUCUGAAGAAGUUAGGACAUGUGAGUGAGGCUCUUGUGCAUGUCCUCAAGGAAAAAGAAGACCCCAAUGACUAUUUGAAGAAACGUCGUCUCUCCUGCCCAGUCCUUAUUGUGAGUUUGUCCAACUGCCUCCUGGCUGUAGGAGAUGUGCUGAUAACUACGCUCCCAAAAGACAAGGUAACACAGGGUGUUUUAUACCUUACGGCCUACUAUUAUGCUCUACACCUUACUUACCCCAGGUGCGUAGCCACUCUGCUCUCUGUCAUAAAAACGGAGGUUCUCUUGGACACAAUCCAUGAGCGAGACCUCACACCAUCUUUCAAGAAGGGCAUGGCUGACUGGAAAGCUUUUGUUGGCAAGUAAAGCCGUUUCCAUUCUUAUUUAGCAAAUGUUUCCCAAUGUUAAGGUCGCAAUAAUAACAAUGUUGUUGAUCUAUUGAGGGACACAGUGGUCAAAUAUUUAUGUUAAUGUUAGCCCAAGACCCAUAACUUGUUGCAAUAAUAAGCACAUUGUAAGUGUAUUGAGGAGACAGAGGUCAGAUGAUUAUGUCUGACUGUAAUCCAUGUGUUACACAUAUAUGUCAUGUUUUGCUAUGUUUUUUUACUAUUAUUAGUAUUUUAUUACAGUGCCAUACACACUGCGCCAAAACAUGACUGGUGCUGCAGGCACAGUGUAACUGACUGACUGCACUGUAUUGUAAGAAUUGUUUGCUCCCUCCUGCAUUUCAGAGCUAAAGAGGCAUGCUCUUUCUUAUGCAAAUAAAAUAUUUGUUUGUUUAAUGCACAACUUGUUUUCAUU
ensembl:lncRNA